rnacentral:rRNA from 1 species
UGGGGAAUUUUGGACAAUGGGCGCAAGCCUGAUCCAGCAAUGCCGCGUGCAGGAUGAAGGCCUUCGGGUUGUAAACUGCUUUUGUACGGAGCGAAAAGGUCUGCCCUAAUACGGUGGGCUCAUGACGGUACCGUAAGAAUAAGCACCGGCUAACUACGUGCCAGCAGCCGCGGUAAUACGUAGGGUGCGAGCGUUAAUCGGAAUUACUGGGCGUAAAGCGUGCGCAGGCGGUUAUAUAAGACAGGUGUGAAAUCCCCGGGCUCAACCUGGGACCUGCAUUUGUGACUGUAUAGCUAGAGUACGGUAGAGGGGGAUGGAAUUCCGCGUGUAGCAGUGAAAUGCGUAGAUAUGCGGAGGAACACCGAUGGCGAAGGCACUCCCCUGGACCUGUACUGACGCUCAUGCACGAAAGCGUGGGGAGCAAACA